rnacentral:misc_RNA from 1 species
AACUGAUACUACCUGCGGGAACCUGCGGAGGGAUCAUUACUGAAGUGAUUUGGGGAUGUUGCUGGCCCUCUCUCAAGGGGGGGCACUGUGCACUCCUCGAAACAAUUCACAAUUUCCAUCACACCCCUUGUGCACACCUUGUAGGCACCCAAACCCACCUCCGGGUGGUGGGGUCCUAUGUAUUCCUUCAUCUCACACUCUGUUGAAUGGUGCCAUGGGACGCGUCUAAAGGAUUAUUUG